rnacentral:tRNA from 1 species
GGCGCGUUGGCAGAGUGGUUAUGCAGCGGACUGCAAAUCCGUUUACCUCGGUUCAAUUCCGGGACGCGCCU